rnacentral:lncRNA from 1 species
CCUGCAGUAAAUCAACACCACAGAGGAGUGUUUGUUUUGGCAAAAGGCAAGGGAGGAAAAAUAUAUAUGCACCUAUAUCUGUUCAAGGAAUAGAGACAUUUAUUCUAAGCUGCGUGUGUGGGUCCUCUCUAGGUUGUUUAGAAUGAAUAACUUCACUUGGCCUAACCAAGAAAACAUUUCCCGUGGUACUUUAAAUACGAAGGUUGAAUAGAUCGCAAUAUAGCAUAAUUACUCCAAUGAUUGUCGAUUGAAAAUUAAUGUAUAUAGUUAUCAAAGGUACCAGGAUUAUAAUUUAGUACGCCAGACGCGCGUUUCGUCUACGUAAGACGUGACGCUCAUUUCAAAAUAUUUAUAAACCAAACAAGUACGAAGUUGACGGGCAU